AGAAUCUCAAAUGGACGACAAACUAAGUCAGACUCAAGAAAAGAAAAGGCACAGGUUUCAGCACAAGUGCAGAUUACUACUGGGCAACUGGCAGAACUAAAAUAGCCUCACAAAUCUUAAUCAUUAAAUGGUGAGACAGAAAGAUCAGAAAAGGGAGCGAGAAAAAAAA